GCGAUAAAGAGCAUUGCUGUAUUUGCAGGGAAAUAACCAGUUAGUCAUUUUCAUUAAAAUGGUCACCCCUGGGUGGCAGUAUAGGAAUACAUGGACAAAAUGAAAUCAUAUUAGCUUCCUUUUCUGGAUAUGGAAAAACAGAUAUCAUAGCACAGUGGACUCUUGCUAAACUUCAUAGCAGGACCUGUAAACCUUAUCUAGGAGGCUUGGCAGGCUGCAAAGUCCAUGUGCUGUUACAGACCGAGACCCUUAUUUUCUUUGGUCUCCAUUUGCUCAUCUGUAAAAAUAUGGGUAUAAUAGUAGGAUUGUUAGGAGGGUUAAAUAUAAUGUUUAGAAUACCCUCCUGCAUAUUAAAUGUGCAUUUUUUUCUCCAGCAAGGUUGCUAUGAGCAUCUUAGCACAUCUCUUGAAGAGGAAGCUAGGGAAUAAGAAGAGUGGGUGUGGGGAGCCCUGGGGACCUUUAGACAGUGGAGUUGCUUGACUUCUGGAGGUUAGUGCAGCCUGCAUGGGGGAUCUAGACCAGCGAGGAAUCAUCUCAAAAUAAACCCACAGCACCAAUUAGACCACAAGGGACUAACUGUCAACAGUUAACAGCAUGUGAUCCUGAGAGGCGAUGGAAACAGUGAAUUGCCGGGCCAGGGCCAUCUCCGCCUGGCUGUGGAAGAGGAACGGGAUCCCUUCCUGGACUGCAUAAGCCCCAGGAAACAGCAACUGGAGAGCAGAUUUGCAAACCAGAAAAGCAACUCAUGAAUACAAAUUGCCUGGAAAGCAUUUAUUACAACAGAAGCUCUGCAAGAUAUACCGGAAAUUGACAGUGGCAUCGAAUUCCCAGCAAGGAAGUUUUCUAAGGACACCAACAGACACCAGCAGAAGACAGCCUUGCAUUUACAACAAACCAUUGAUCCACAACAAACCAUUGAUCCACACUUUCAAAAUCAUUGAGGUGAAGCAUAGAGAACUGGAGUGGAGACGGCUCUGGCAAAUCCAAACAAUAUCAAAAGCACUCUCAUACUGAAAACCCACAGUGCUGAACCACAGCUGAGAUGUAAAAUAUUUCACAAAAUCUUCUUCACCCUCUAUAGUAUUUCACCUGAGAGUGCAUGAUUUAAGUUGCAAGCACUGUCAUAGAUGAUGGGAUUCAGAGAUGAACACAUGGAAAUGGACUUUAUGUUCUCUAAUGUCACAAAGAAAGAGUGAUUAUGAAGAAGACCCAGAUUCCCACCUAUUAAUCUGAGCUUUGAAUUCUUUACUUUGCUGGGUCCACCGGAUUUUUUCUCCACUCAGCCCAUCGAUGAGAGUGGAGGCGGCCUGCAUCUUUUUCCGGCACGUAUCAGCGUCAUUAAGCAAAUCCUGCAGCCAUAAUGGGAGAAUGUCUCAAAAAACUUUUCUAAGUGCUUAACACAAACAUCCAUUAUAUUCACACAUAAAAAUACAUGGGGGAAUUUCUUACUUUGCAAAAUAAUAUAACCUAAAAAUACAGUGUGCAUUGAAACUUCACAUAUUAAAUUUUGAUCAUUCAUAAUAUAGUGAUUUUACCUUAUAAAAUUUCAAGGAAAGCAAUUUUGUAAGACAGAAUCCAAAUCACAUAAUUUAUCUUUUAAUCAGACAAAUUACAAUAGUAUUUCUAUUGAAUAUUUUCAAAACAGAAUCAAAUCAAUAAGAUUUGCCAUUUUGAUGUCUUGGAUGCAGUAAUAAUCCCGAGUUCUUUGUCAUUUACAAAGUAUUUUCUCCUGGAAAAAUCCCAGACAACAAUAGCAUGUAGCAGCCGGCUUGUAUCAACUCUUAAGAGCCAAUUGUUAAAUUUUUAGAGUAUUUGUGAGCUGGUGCUAAACACAGCCUUUAUUAAAAAUUAAACUAUGUAAGCUUACAAUUAAAAAAUUAUAUUAAAAGCAAAAGUAAUAAAUAACAAAAGCUUACUUCCUAAUUAUUUAAAUGUUAAUAUUAUCUAUGGUUUUGAGGUUAAGACCGUUGUAUCUGGAUGGUGGAAAUAGUAUGCGAUGGGGUACUGCCAUGCACCUUUUCCCAAAUCUGUGCUCAGUGACGUUACAUUGGAGUUUAAAAUUGCCAGUGAUGGGAGUAUUUACACCACAGAAAUCAGCAAAUAUUACAAAUCCGGACUUUCCUCUCCCCACACUGCACACUAGAUUGUUAACAUUUACCAGACCACCACUGCUUACAACCUAUCCCAAGAGGUUAUAUUAGGAUCCCCAUUUUACAAACAGAGCUAGGUAGAUUGCCCCUGUCAGGUCUCUGAGCCAAAGCUAAGCCAUCAUAUCCCCUGUGACCUGCAUGUACACAUCCAGAUGGCCGGUUCCUGCCUUAACUGAUGACAUUCCACCACAAAAGAAGUGAAAAUGGCCUGUUCCUGCCUUAACUGAUGACAUUACCUUGUGAAAUUCCUUUUCCUGGCUCAUCCUAGCUCAAAAGCUCCCCCACUGAGCACCUUGUGACCCCCACCCCUGCCCGCCAGAGAACAACUCCCUUUGACUGUAAUUUUCCUUUACCUACCUAAAUCCUAUAAAACGGCCCCACCCCUGUCUCCCUUCGCUGACUCUUUUCGGACUCAGCUCGCCUGCACCCAGGUGAAAUAAACAGCCUUGUUGCUCACACAAAGCCUGUUUGGUGGUCUCUUCACAUGGACGCGCGUGAAAGCCCCAAACCACACAAUUAACAAGUGUCUGAGCUGCAUCUCAAACCCAGUUUUCUA
rnacentral:lncRNA from 10 species